CACAGAUAUUAGAAUGUGUGAGUUGGGAUCUUUGACAUUGGGUGCAAUAGUGUUUUAGAAACUUCAAAAAGGAAAGUGUUCAUUUUACACCUGUUAUUUUCUUUUUAAGUCACUCUUUAUUCUAGGAGUUCACUAUUACAUAGUUAUUUAAAGGAUUCAUCAGAUUUAUUUUACCCAUCAAAGAUUGCAUGAUCCAUAAACAUAUAUAUUUAAAUAUUAAUAUAAUAUAUAUGUAUAUAUAACAACCCAUUCUAUACCAUUUUUAAAUGCUUAAGUACACCAGCUAAAGUUCUUUAAUUUUGAUUCAUUUGACCUGAUUCUCAGGACCUGAGGUAAGUCAAAUCAAACAUGGACGUCAACAUUAACCUCAGUAUCGAUAUUGCGGCGCACAGGCCCACUGUGCAGCAGGGUAACGAUAACGUAAAAAUAUUGAGUGUAAAAAUGUUGACAUCAGCAAGCUAGACUCAUGCAAAAGAAGGGAACCAAAUAACAAUAACAACUUCGGGCACAUAACAGAGAAGGGUGGCGUGAAUAGUCAUUUGUGGCACAUAACUUGUUAAAAUGUGUUCUUAAUGUGAUUUUAUCACACUGCACCCUACCAACCCUCCAAACCUUCCUGCGGGUGGUGAGUCCUCUGGGCCAAAGCGCCACUUAACUGAAAGUCACUCACUGAAAACUUCUCAGAAUAAGAUUCCGUCCGCCUACCACUAGAGGGAGCCCAAGUACUAACAUUGACACGCAUGUAUAGUUUGAGAACAAACGAUUUACUCUUGGAUCUUCUAAUUCCUGGUUCUGUCCACUCUGGUAACAAACAGAACAGUGUUCUGUCUUUUAGACCGCGCUGCUGUCAAUGACAAGGAUAAAUAAGUGGUGACGAAGGAUUUGCUGAAGACACAAAAGGUAAAAAAGAAGACGGUUUUAUAAUCAUACCGACAUCCAUAUCAGAAAGAGCGUUUCCAGACCGUUACCUCAGAUCCUCUCCAUCCAGCAGCCUUCUAUACUCAG